GUGCUCUUUUCAACAGCACUACAGUAAAAUUAGAGACACGGAGAUGAUGAGCAUGGCCCCUGAGGAAGAGUAACAAAUUGAAAUGAAGCAUUUCAUAUUUUU
rnacentral:snRNA from 1 species